rnacentral:rRNA from 1 species
UACGGAGGGUGCAAGCGUUAUCCGGAUUUACUGGGUUUAAAGGGUGCGCAGGCGGAUAUGUAAGUCAGUGGUGAAAUCUCUAGGCUUAACCUGGAAACUGCCGUUGAUACUAUAUAUCUUGAAUGCUGUGGAGGUAAGCGGAAUAUGUCAUGUAGCGGUGAAAUGCUUAGAUAUGACAUAGAACACCUAUUGCGAAGGCAGCUUACUACGCAGAUAUUGACGCUCAUGCACGAAAGCGUGGGGAUCAAACAGG